rnacentral:miRNA from 1 species
ACACAUACACUCUCUCUCUCUCUCUCUCUCUCUCUCUCUCUCUCUCUCUCUCUCUCUCUUUUCUCUGUCUCUGUCUCACACACACACACACACACACACACAGAGAGAGAGAGAGAGAGAGAGAGAGAGAGAGAGAGAGAGAGAGAUACAAACAUU